UACAGAGGUCUCAAGCGUUAUUCGGAAUCACUGGGCGUAAAGGGUGCGUAGGCGGCGCGGAAAGUCAGGGGUGAAAUCCCGGAGCUCAACUCCGGAACUGCCUUUGAUACUCCCGCGCUAGAGAGCUGGAGGGGACAUCGGAAUUCACGGUGGAGCAGUGAAAUGCGUGGAUAUCGUGAGGAACACUAGUGGCGAAGGCGGAUGUCUGGACAGUAUCUGACGCUGAGGCACGAAGGCCAGGGGAGCGAACAGG
rnacentral:rRNA from 1 species